CCGCCCCCCCUUGUAAAAAAAAAAAAUCCCGGUUUUCGUUUAGUCUUCCCUCAUGUUGGGCAGAUCAUGUUCCCAAAUAUUGGUUUAGGGUUCGGGGAGGGCUGGGAAAAGAUUCUUUUAUUGUUUUUGUUCUUUUAGGAAAACAAAAACAGGAGAGGGCUGGGGGCAGGCUUGGGCAGUUUGGCUGGGCUGGGAUCCCCUUCCCUCUGUGUCCCCGAAGAGACCGGGACUCACUGACCGACUCUCUCUUUUCUCUCUCGGGUGGGUUGGGCUCGGGCUUUCUUAACCGCAGCCUGCGGGCGGAGCGGUGGCGGCGGCGGCGGAAGAGGCGGCGGCGGCGGGGGCGCUGCUAGCAGCACGGGCAGGAGCCAUGUCAAGAGAAAACCACCAGCCAACUGAGCCCCUCCAUCCCUGCUGCAGUGCGCACUGUGACCGGGCCGCCCGCGCUGCUGCCGCCGCUCAGCCCCCACCUGGGACCCAUAGUCUAGCUCGGCACCCCGGGCGGCAGCUGAGGAGGAGGCGCUGGCUGCGACUGGGGAGUAGGCAGGGAGAGAGGAGGAAGACAAGAGGAAAGAGGAGGAGGAGGAGGAGAGAGGGGGGUGGGAAUGGCGCUGGCGGUGGGGGAGGGGAAGGGAGGGGAUCCUGCACUAAGAGGUCCGUCAGCCGAGUGAGCCCCAAGGAUUAAAGUUAUUCCUGUCCGAGCAUCGGCUCUCGCUUCUCUCUUCCCCCUACGAGCGGGCUCCGGAUUCUCAGGAAAAGAAGGACGAGGUUGAUGUUGGGGGGAGGAAAAAAAAAAAGGCUGAAGCAGCAGCGGGUGGUAGACGUCGACGGUGGCACAGCCUCGGUUUUGGGUUUUUUUCCCACCCCCACCGGUGGUUGCGGAAGCGGCGGCGGCGGCAAGCGCCUCCCGGGCCGGGGCAGUAACGCGUUUGAGGAAAGAAGCGAGAACAAACAACUUAAAAUGGCAGCGACGGCCGCUGCGUCACCCGCCCCUCCGCGGUGCCGCCCCGAGGCCACCGCGGCUGCGCGUCCCUCCAGCCUCUAUCACUGACGCCGAAGCAAAGGGGGAGGAAGUCAAGAGUGAGAGAUGUUCUGGAUAAGAAGAUGAUAAAGGAAAAAAAAACUAAAAUGAGCAAAAUAUAUAUAAUUUAUUAAACUGAAGUGUUGUCGUAAAUCGAGCUUCUACCAUGAGCCAAACGCCUAGGAGAUGAAGAAAUUAAUAAAAUACAUCACCCCCUUCCAUUAUGGUUUCUCCGAAGGGCGUGAAGGGUCUCCCCGCCACUCCCUCCCGCUCCCCCCUUAGAGGGGUCGCGUGUAGCUUCCAGCUUCCUCCCCCUAGUGACGUCAGAACACCCCCAGUUUCUCCCCACCCCCACCCCCCACGAAGCACCCGGAUGGAACCGUAGAGGACGGCUGGGGGAGGGGAAAGAAAGUAAUCAGUCCACGGCUGGGCUGCUGAGUUGGGAAGUUUGACUCAUAGGAGAGGGGCCUGGGAGCGGGCAAGAGGAGAUGCCUUCCCUCCCUUCCGGAUAUUUCACUUUCAAACCGCUCAGCGGUGUGUUGUAGGGAGGGGGGAGGAGCUGAAGGGGAGGACCGGAGGGAAGCUUAUUGUAACCAGAUUCAAGUUCAAUUCCUUCACCGUCUUCCGCAGAAACCGCUGCAGGCCGCUGGCCUUUUCCUCGCGGGUUGAACCUUGCGCAAAGCGCGCCGUUUGGAGUCAGAACCGGGCUAGGCUUGUGCUGCUACGGAUGAUCCGAGUAGCCGACUUCGGGCUAGCCUCAGUUCCCUAAAUUGUACAACGGAAGGGGUCGCAUCCCAAAGCGCAGGAGACGGGUAGGAGGAAGACAGUCAAGGUCCUGCCCCGGUCGGCAGCCGGUGAUCAGAUGUUGUCCUACACCCAAAUUGCCCCGGGCUAAAGUUCUGUUUUGUGCUUGAAACUAGCUCAGAAACGUCACUCUCCUAGAUAAAUUGUGGCGAUUUAAUGGAGAAGCUCUUCCACAACUUCGGUUUUCCUGUUAUCUGAUCGGAUCUCAGGGUAAAUCGAGUGGCCUUUCUCCUUCCCGCUGGCUUUGAGAAAGUACACCUGGCAAUCUUGGAGGGGCGGGGAAAUGUAGUUAGUUUUAAGCCCACAGAUGCUCAAAAGAAGCGGCUAUUGCCGAAACACCAAAGUGGCUCCACCUUCUACGUAAAGAUACUCAAGUCACCGCACUAACGGGAGCCUACGGAGAGUCAACAAAGUCCAGGGACAAGAUAAAAGUCAGGACAACUGGCAAUGCAGUGGAUGACCUUGACAUCUUCAAUGUCUGACGAAGCUCUAAGCAUUUCACAGUGCCUGCUUCACCCCAUUCAUGGCCCAUUGGAACAAACUAUUCUCAUCACAUGCUUUGGGUAGACAUCCUCCUAACUCACUGACAGGUUUGAGGCCUGUUGGUUGCCCUCAACUUGGUUUAGCCUAUUUGCCAAAAUGGUUUUAGCAGGGGGUGGCGGAUAGACAUACUAUAGCUUCUUGAAGCUACAGAUGAGAACUAGGUAUCAGGUUGGACACCAAAUAUGGAUAAGCAGCCCUGAAAUGUUUCAACAAGCCCACAUAUCAGAGGUACUAGUUCUCGCUUAACACCUCCUUUUAGCUCACAGUCUAAAGGAGGAGGUAACAUGCAAAGAAGUACUAAUCAGCUAUUUACUGGAUAAAUGGGAAAUAAUCAACAGAAGAAAAGCCCAAGAAUUAAAAGGGAUCAGAAAAGACUUCCUGUAGAAGGAACAAUUUAGCUGGAACUUGAAGGAAACCAGAAGGCAUCUGUAUGAAAGAAAGAUUCCAGGCAUGGAGAAAUCAAGAGAUGAAGUAUCUUAUGCAGGUAACUGGAUCAAAGAGAAUGGAAAGAAGAUGGAGAGAGCGAUAAAGAGUAUAAAGAGAUUGAAAAAGUACAAAGAGAAAAUAGGAGGCUAUGUUAUAAAGGAUUUUAUAACCCAAACAGAAUUUGUGUUUGAUCCUGAAGGUGAUAAGAAGCUCCCAGAGUUUACUGGAUGAUGUAGUAGAACCCUCAUUUUAGGAAAAUCACUUUGGUGACUGAAUGUUGGAUGGACUGAAGGAGACACUUAUGUGGAGAGACUAACUGGUAGACUACUGAAAUAGACCAAGUUCAGGGAAUACAAGGCCCUGCACUAGAGUAGUAUAGCAGUAUCAUAAUAUAGGAAAUUUAUUAGAAAGAUGUUGCAAAGGUAAAGUUGACAGGCCUUAGCAAUAAGUUGGAGAUGGCCAGAUAAGAGAUCGAGGAGUUAAAGAUAACUCCUAAAUUGAGAGCCUAGGGGCUAUGCUUUGUUUGAUAAUAGGGAAGUUUGGAAGGAGGAAAGAAAACUGAUGAAUUCUGUUUUGGACAUACUGUAUUGAGUUUAAGAUUUCUAAUGGACAUCCAAUUUUAACUGUCCUGAAAUACAAUUGGAGAUAAGAAACUGGAUUAGUUUACCCUCCAGCAAUGGCACAUGGGUCAAGUAGUUGGUGAGAAAUAAGUAAGGAGAUUACAAGACAGGAUACAGAGAGAAAACUAAGCUUCUUUACAAUUUUUCCAGAAGACAGGUAUCAUAGUCACCUAUUUUUCCAGUUUCAUUAUAGAAUACACAUUUUUCCUAUAUCCUGUGAUCCAACCAAAUAAGUAAGGAGAUUACAAGACAGAAUACAGAGAGAAAACUAAGCUUCUUUACAAUUUUUCCAGAAGACAGGUAUCAUAGUCACCUAUUUUUCCAGUUUCAUUAUAGAAUACACAUUUUUCCUAUAUCCUGUGAUCCAACCAAACAAGGCUUUUCUCUGUUUAUCACCUUUGGCAUGCUUUCUCUGGUCUUUGAAAUGGCCAUCCUCUCAUCAUCCUGAGUACAUUUCCUCUUUAUUUGCUUCACAAAAUCAAAGGAAUCACAUGUCCUUGGUCUUUUAUUGGCCCCAUGCUUUAAAAAAAAAAAAAAAAAAAAAA